rnacentral:lncRNA from 1 species
UGUUGAAUUCUCUCUUAUUAUAAGUAAUAGGAUAACUAUAUUUGAUAUGUGCGUACCUUGCAAGGUCCUCAUGUCUGUCAGACAGUUUUUACUUGACCUCGACCUCAUUUCAUGGAUCAGUGAACAAGGUUAAGUUUUGGUGGUCAAGUCCAUAUCUCAGAUACUAUAAGCAAUAGGGCUAGUAUAUUCGGUGUAUGGAAGGACUGUAAGGUGUACAUGUCCAACUGGCAGGUGUCAUCUGACCUUGACCUCAUUUUCAUGGUUCAGUGGUUAUAGUUAAAUUUUUA